GACGAACGCUGGCGGCGUGAUUAACACAUGCAAGUCGAACGAAGUGGCGAACGGGUGAGUAACGCGUAAUCCACCUGCCAUUCAGAGGGGGACAACAGUUGGACACGACUGCUAAUACCGCAUACUGAAGGAGGGAAUUGCGUCUGAUUAGCUAGUUGGAGGGGUCACGGCCCACAAAGGCGAGAAUAAGUAGCCGGUCUGAGAGGAGGAACGGCAACAUUGGGACUGAGACACGGCCCAGACUCCUACGGGAGGCAGCAGUGGGGAAUCUUCCGCAAUGGACGAAAGUCUGACGGAGCAACGCCGCGUGAGUGAUGACGGCCUUCGGGUUGUAAAGCUCUGUUAAUCGGGACGCGGUACCGGAAUAGAAAGCCACGGCUAACUACGUGCCAGCAGCCGCGGUAAUAC
rnacentral:rRNA from 1 species